rnacentral:rRNA from 1 species
UACGAAGGGGGCUAGCGUUGUUCGGAAUCACUGGGCGUAAAGGGCGCGUAGGCGGCCAUAUAAGUCGGGGGUGAAAGCCUGUGGCUCAACCACAGAAUUGCCUUCGAUACUGUAUGGCUCGAGACCGGAAGAGGUAAGUGGAGCUGCGAGUGUAGAGGUGAAAUUCGUAGAUAUUCGCAAGAACACCAGUGGCGAAGGCGGCUUACUGGUCCGGUUCUGACGCUGAGGCGCGAAAGCGUGGGGAGCAAACAGG